AGUGGGAUAGCUGGAUCAAAUGGUAGUUUUAUUCCUAGUUUUCCAAGGAAUCUUCAUACUGCUUUCCAGAUUGGCUGCACCAAUUUGCAGUCCCAACAGCAAU
rnacentral:pre_miRNA from 1 species